UGAAAAGGAGAAUAAAGUAAUUUCACUCUUCUGUUAACAGCCCACUUCUUUUUAGAAUAGAAAGAGAAAAGUGUAGGCGAUAGAAUAGAAUGUUUAACAAUUUAUCUUUAGGGGAAAAGACUCUACAGGCUUGUAGUUAAACUCCCGUGACUUGGUCCUUGAAUACAGCUGCAUGCUCUGGAUUUCAAGUACUGAAAAGGGGGGAAACAAAUGAAGAAAAUUCCAGGAAAAAAAGGACGGCAGACAAUCUUUGUUGGUUUUGUUUUCUUAUUAUUUUUUUUCUUUCUGCAUAUGAGGUGAAACUGGAAGGGCUUGAGCCAGGAUUCACCCUGUCCCAGACCUAAUUUAAGGGUUGGCAGUGGAGGCGAUGACAUCUUGCUAAAGGUCCCUGGGUACCUGAAGCCUUCCAAGGGUACCUACAGCUUGAUGCAAACUUGAAACUCCUCAUUUCUUACAGCCGUUUUGGAAUAUGUGGCGGAUCAGUGUUAGCUGGUAUGAUGAUUUCUUUGACUCAAAGGCCCUAGGUAGGUAGUGAUUUUAAUUUUGUUUCACUGCAUGUGUUUUAUCACGAAUGUUUCUGUUAUGUAUUCAGUAGUUACAAACUUUGCUUAUAACCUUUGUAGCUCCCUUCUGUCUAAAAGCUAGUAAUUCAGACUGAGUAGCUGAGCGUUGGUGCUAUGAGUCCCAGAAGUCUUGUAAGAUAUUCUAAUUCAACAGUCAGAUAUCGAUUUAGGAAAGCUGCUCCUGUGUCUGCUCUUUGGCUGUAGUUGUCUGCCUGCUCAUUUGUAAAUGAUGUCCAUUGAAAAUUAACACAAAACGUGGGUAGACAAGUAACAGUCUGGGGGUUGUUUUGUGCCAUUCUAAGAAAGUGAGCCCUACAUAAGAUGAAACACAAGUUGUUUAUGGUUGUUGGUUUUCGGGUUUGGCUUUGUUUUGUUUUCAGUGCAACGAUUCAUUUAGGAAAAAAAAAUCUUUAAAAUGAGAAGCAGCACUGGUAGCGAGAGCUUGAAUCUGCCUCAGUAGCCUGCUGGGGGAGCUGCAGCCCAUUGGCGUCGGCUGACCCGGAGAUCACAGACGGUCGUCUCCUUUUCUUUUGCUACCGUGCUGAGUGAUCUCACCAAGUUGCUUCUGUGGUGACUAUUCCUAUCUGAAGAUGAAUGGAUGCAUGUAUUUUUUCAGCUUGUUUUAGCUGUAUCAACCUUUGUGUCCAGUAGCUGUGACAAACAAAGGAAUUAAACCUCAGCAAGAUGAAAUAGUGAAGCAAAAUAAGGAAAAUACUAAAGAGAUGUUAGAUAGCAAUCUAAAUCUGAGAUGAUCAAAAAACAUGGCAAGUUUGUUUACCUGAAGUCCAUGUUCACGCAUUUCUGAGCCUCAUGUGAGCAUUGAGCAGAAAGACAAGAAACAUGAAAUGAGUUCAGAAUAACAUUGCAUGCCUCAAAAGAAUAUAAGCCUGGAAAGUAAACCUCUGUUGUCUUUCCUAAUAUGAAGAAAACGAGCUAGCUUAAAAUUACUCUUGCCACUGUAGGACAAACAGGAGACCAUGGAGAUGAGAUCAGUAUCCUAAGCUGGAGGGACUGCGCUGGUGGUUCAGCACUUCUGCAUGAGCACAAUUAAUUACAUAGGUUUUCAACAGUCACAAAGGAGGAAAAAUAUUGGUGAGAGGAAUACUUAAAAACAAAAGAAUUGCUAAGUCACAGCCUGAACCAAUGAUUGAGCACCCGGUGAAGGGACACAGCCAGCCCUGGGGGCACAGGUGAAAGAUUUCACUUGUGCGACCAAAAGGGGUGGAAUCUGGUCCCACUCCUCCUGGAGACUCAUUUAAGGGCUGGCUGCCACAAGGAAGAUGUGUCUACCUGGGGAUUCCUCUUCUUGGAGUGUUUGGUGAGCCCUGAUCUUUAGAAUGGGAAAGAAGAGAUGUUCAAGAGGAGCCUGGCCAGAAUUCUGCUCAGAACAUAAAGAAUCUUGAAAACUGACAAAGUAACAAUGAAAAGAAGAGAAAGAAGCCUGCUUAAAACUGCAUUAGAGGAAAUACUGUGGAGGUUGAUCUGGGAAUACUCUGAGAGAGAUAAUUAAGAUUUUAAUCUAUUAUUAGGAAGGGCAAGAAAAUUAUUAGGCAGCACAGUAUUGUUUGUUCUUCUUUCCUCAUAGAUUCUUCUUGCUGAUAACUUUCUCAAGGCAAAGACAGUCUCCUGCAAAUGAGUCAGCUAGAUCUUAUUUAUUCCAGGGUGCAUAUCUCACUCUUUGAGGGUGUUCAUUGUGUCAAAUUAGUCCUGUUAGUUCUAGGGAGGUGACACGCUACUUGGAAUUAAAGACCGUGGUCCCAGAAGCAUCAGGCAGAACAUCAGUCAUGAGCUUGCCUGAAGAGCACAAAUCAAACAAGUUUUUUAUUGUCAUGCUUUCAGUUGACCCAUUGGAGGAUGAAGCUCAUACACUUAUACUCCAGUGUUGCAGUGAGACCAUGCAUAUAGUUAAAGCAGGUCAAUAUGGUACUGUGGAAGUCAAUGUAGCUAGGCAGUUUAAUGAAUAUCUGACCUAGUGUAUGCAGGGGUAAGUGCUUGAAGUUUUCAUGUUACAUCAUGCUCAGAGGAAAGGCAGUCCAUCUGCUUUCUUUUUAAAGAGGCUUGAAAAAAAACAGAAGGAAUGGCUGAUGUGUCAAGACAGCAGUGAAGAGAAAUACUUGAAUUGUUGGCAGCCUAGUCAAAGAUUUGGAGUCAUUUUCAAGCUUGUUGCUUAAGGAAGAAAACAAAAAAGCGAAAACAGAAAUGAAAUCCCAACUGGACAUAAAGAAAAACACACGUACACAUUUAAAAACCACCGAGAAAUCAAACUCCCCAUCCCUCCCCAACUUUUUGCUGC
ensembl:lncRNA